rnacentral:rRNA from 1 species
GCAGUAGCCACGGGAAUACGAAGGGGGCUAGCGUUGCUCGGAAUUACUGGGCGUAAAGGGAGCGUAGGCGGAUCGUUUAGUCAGGGGUGAAAUCCCGGGGCUCAACCUCGGAACUGCCUUUGAUACUGGCGAUCUUGAGUAUGGGAGAGGUGUGUGGAACUCCGAGUGUAGAGGUGAAAUUCGUAGAUAUUCGGAAGAACACCAGUGGCGAAGGCGACACACUGGCCCAUUACUGACGCUGGGGCUCGAAAGCGUGGGGAGCAAACAGGAUUAGAUACCCCUGUAGUCCCUGUCUCUUAUAC